GGGGAUAACUACUGGAAACGGUAGCUAAUACCGCAUAACGUCGCAAGACCAAAGAGGGGGACCUUCGGGCCUCUUGCCAUCGGAUGUGCCCAGAUGGGAUUAGCUUGUUGGUGGGGUAACGGCUCACCAAGGCGACGAUCCCUAGCUGGUCUGAGAGGAUGACCAGCCACACUGGAACUGAGACACGGUCCAGACUCCUACGGGAGGCAGCAGUGGGGAAUAUUGCACAAUGGGCGCAAGCCUGAUGCAGCCAUGCCGCGUGUAUGAAGAAGGCCUUCGGGUUGUAAAGUACUUUCAGCGGGGAGGAAGGGAGUAAAGUUAAUACCUUUGCUCAUUGACGUUACCCGCAGAAGAAGCACCGGCUAACUCCGUGCCAGCAGCCGCGGUAAUACGGAGGGUGCAAGCGUUAAUCGGAAUUACUGGGCGUAAAGCGCACGCAGGCGGUUUGUUAAGUCAGAUGUGAAAUCCCCGGGCUCAACCUGGGAACUGCAUCUGAUACUGGCAAGCUUGAGUCUCGUAGAGGGGGGUAGAAUUCCAGGUGUAGCGGUGAAAUGCGUAGAGAUCUGGAGGAAUACCGGUGGCGAAGGCAGCCCCCUGGACGAAGACUGACGCUCAGGUGCGAAAGCGUGGGGAGCAAACAGGAUUAGAUACCCU
rnacentral:rRNA from 1 species